UCCUGGUCUUGUACCGUCUCCUUUGGGGUGUCGCUGUUCUAAAAAAUGACUAAUGCUAGCUUAUCCAGUAGGUGAUCGCUCACUAUCACUGUUGUUAGGGGAUGUUGUUAGAUGCGUUCUGUCUCUGAUGUUAAAAUUGCCAAUUAUAAACUUUGUUAUCAACAUAAUCAAUGGUUUCCCCUUUUGGUUUUUUUAAUGGGUAUAUAAGGGUGUUGUUCACUCUUUCACUACAGGCUCCCUUGAGGCAUUUUGCUGAAACGUUGGGGGCUUAUUGGUUGACUCUCGUCCUUCUUCUCACUAGGUCUGGUAUGCGUUUCUUCUCUUUGUAUACAUAACUAUUUUUGGGUUUGAAAAAUCAGGUAUCUCUUAUAGCUAUUCUGUAUACUUGUAUCCAAUGAUUCAUGUAUUAUGUAGUCUGCUUAUAUGUAAUUGCAGAAUUUGUAGCUAUUGCAUUGCCCUUUCCAUUUGACAUGGUGUGUCUUUUUCGUUCAUUGAUACAAUUAAUGAGAGAGCCUAUUACUGUGACCCAUUUAAUAAAAAUCUUUUCACAUGUAUUUGUGGUCGUGCCCCUUGUUCAAGUAAUAUAUGUAACUUUCUUGGCCUUUAGGAAUAUGGCCUUACACAAGUGAGCACCUACUACUAGUUGUUUAUUGUAGUGUGGAUACUUUCUGUUCCUUAGCAGCAUUUUGAGUGUGCCUACCUGUUUUAAUUUUCAUUAGUUAGGGUAAGUACCCCAUGACAGAUCUUUUCUCUUGCCCAUUUUUCCCGCUUCCAGCUGAGUUAAUUUUGCAAAAGCCAAAUAGUGAUGGCUAGAUGACUGGGUCAAAGCAUCUCCAAAACAGCAAGUCUUGCAGAUUGUUCUUGGUAUGCAGUGGUUAAUCUCUACCAGAAGUGGUGCAAGGAAGGACAAGGGGUGAAUCCGUAUCAGGGUCAU